CCCGCUGAACUUAAGCAUAUCAAUAAGCGGAGGAAAAGAACCCAACAGGGAUUGCCCUAGUAACGGCGAGUGAAGCGGCAACAGCUCAAAUUUGAAAUCUGGCCUCGGCCCGAGUUGUAAUUUGCAGAGGAUGCUUCUGGCGCGGUGCCUUCCGAGUUCCCUGGAACGGGACGCCACAGAGGGUGAGAGCCCCGUAUGGUCGGACACCAAGCCUGUGUGAAGCUCCUUCGACGAGUCGAGUAGUUUGGGAAUGCUGCUCUAAAUGGGAGGUAAAUCUCUUCUAAAGCUAAAUACCGGCCAGAGACCGAUAGCGCACAAGUAGAGUGAUCGAAAGAUGAAAAGCACCUUGAAAAGGGGGUUAAAUAGUACGUGAAAUUGUUGAAAGGGAAGCACUUAUGACCAGACUUGGGCCGGGCGGCUCAUCAGGGGUUCUCCCCUGUGCACUCCGCCCGGCACAGGCCAGCAUCGGUUUUCGCGGGGGGAUAAGACCGACGGGAACGUAGCACCCUCCGGGGUGUGUUAUAGCCCGGCGGACGAUACCCUCGCGGGGACCGAGGACCGCGCUUCGGCAAGGAUGCUGGCGUAAUGGUCAUCAGUGACCCGUCUUGAAACACGGACCAAGGAGUCGUCCAUUAGAGCGAGCGUUUGGGUGUAAAACCCGCACGCGUAAUGAAAGUGAACGCAGGUGAGAGCUUCGGCGCAUCAUCGACCGAUCCUGAUGUUCUCGGAAGGAUUUGAGUAAGAGUUUUAACGGACGGACCCGAAAGACAGUGAACUAUGCUUGUAUAGGGUGAAGCCAGAGGAAACUCUGGUGGAGGCUCGCAGCGGUUCUGACGUGCAAAUCGAUCGUCAAAUAUGAGCAUGGGGGCGAAAGACUAAUCGAACUGUCUAGUAGCUGGUUACCGCCGAAGUUUCCCUCAGGAUAGCAGUGUUGAUCUUCAGUUUUAUGAGGUAAAGCGAAUGAUUAGGGACUCGGGGGCUAUAUAUUGCCUUCAUCCAUUCUCAAACUUUAAAUAUGUAAGAAGCCCUUGUUACUUAGUUGAACGUGGGCAUUCGAAUGUACCAACACUAGUGGGCCAUUUUUGGUAAGCAGAACUGGCGAUGC
rnacentral:rRNA from 1 species